UGCAGUCGACGAUGAUGAGUAGCUUGCUACUCUGAUUAGUGGCGCACGGGUGAGUAAUAUAUAGAUAACGUACCUCUUAGACUGGGAUUGCCAUUGGAAACGAUGAUUAAUACUAGAUACUCCUUCUAGCUCUAAUGCUAGUCGGGAAAGUUUUUUCGCUAAGAGAUCGGUCUAUAUCCUAUCAGUUAGUUGGUGAGGUAAUGGCUCACCAAGGCAAUGACAGGUAGCGGGUUUGAGAGGAUGAUCCGCCACACUGGUACUGAGACACGGACCAGACUCCUACGGGAGGCAGCAGUGAGGAAUAUUGCACAAUGGGGGAAACCCUGAUGCAGCAACGCCGCGUGGAGGAUGACGCAUUUCGGUGUGUAAACUCCUUUUAUAUGUCAAGAAAAUGACGGUAGCAUAUGAAUAAGCACCGGCUAACUCCGUGCCAGCAGCCGCGGUAAUACGGAGGGUGCAAGCGUUAUUCGGAAUCACUGGGCGUAAAGGACGCGUAGGCGGGUUUGUAAGUCAGGUGUGAAAUCCUACAGCUUAACUGUAGAACUGCACUUGAAACUACUGACCUAGAGUAUGGGAGGGGGAGAUGGAAUUAGUUGGUUGUAAGGGGUUAAAAUCCGUAAAAUAUCACUAGGAAUACCUAAAGCGAAGGCGAUCUCCUGGAACAUAACUGACGCUAAGGCGUGAAAGCGUGGGGAGCAAACAGAUUAGAUACCCUGGUAGUCCACGCCCUAAACGAUGAACACUAGUCGUCGUGAUGCUAGUC
rnacentral:rRNA from 1 species